rnacentral:rRNA from 2 species
GCAUAUCAAUAAGCGGAGGAAAAGAAACCAACAGGGAUUGCCCCAGUAACGGCGAGUGAAGCGGCAACAGCUCAAAUUUGAAAUCUGGCCCCAGGCCCGAGUUGUAAUUUGCAGAGGAUGCUUUUGGCGCGGUGCCUUCCGAGUUCCCUGGAACGGGACGCCAUAGAGGGUGAGAGCCCCGUACGGUUGGACACCAAGCCUUUGUAAAGCUCCUUCGACGAGUCGAGUAGUUUGGGAAUGCUGCUCUAAAUGGGAGGUACAUUUCUUCUAAAGCUAAAUAUUGGCCAGAGACCGAUAGCGCACAAGUAGAGUGAUCGAAAGAUGAAAAGCACUUUGAAAAGAGGGUUAAACAGCACGUGAAAUUGUUAAAAGGGAAGCGCUUGUGACCAGACUUGCGUCCGGUGAAUCACCCAGCUCUCGCGGCUGGGGCACUUCGCCGGCACAGGCCAGCAUCAGCUUGCCGUCGGGGACAAAAGCUUCAGGAACGUGGCUCCUCUCGGGGAGUGUUAUAGCCUGUUGCAUAAUACCCUUCGGCGGGCUGAGGUACGCGCUCCGCAAGGAUGCUGGCGUAAUGGUCAUCAGCGACCCGUCUUGAAACACGGACCAAGGAGUCAACCUUAUGUGCGAGUGUUUGGGUGUUAAACCCCUACGCGUAAUGAAAGUGAACGCAGGUGAGAGCUUCGGCGCAUCAUCGACCGAUCCUGAUGUUCUCGGAUGGAUUUGAGUAAGAGCAUAUAGGGUUGGACCCGAAAGAAGGUGAACUAUGCGUGUGUAGGGUGAAGCCAGAGGAAACUCUGGUGGAGGCUCGCAGCGGUUCUGACGUGCAAAUCGAUCGUCAAACAUGCGCAUGGGGGCGAAAGACUAAUCGAACCUUCUAGUAGCUGGUUUCCGCCGA